GCAGUGGCCCAGUGGUAGAGCAUCUGCUUGAUAAAUAGAAGGUCCCAGGUUCAAUUCACUGUCAUCUUCA
rnacentral:tRNA from 1 species